rnacentral:tRNA from 1 species
GUGAGCGUAGCUCAAUCGGUCAGAGCACCGGGUUGUGAGCCCGGGGGUUGAGGGUUCGAGCCCCUUCGCUCACC